rnacentral:rRNA from 1 species
UACGUAGGCAGCGAGCGUUGUUCGGAGUUACUGGGCGUAAAGAGUGCGUAGGCGGUUUUCUAAGUUUGGUGUGAAAUCUCCCGCUUAACUGGGAGGGUGCGCCGAAGACUGGAAGGCUUGAGUAUGGGAGAGGUAAGCGGAAUUCCUGGUGUAGCGGUGGAAUGCGCAGAUAUCAGGAGGAACACCGGUGGCGAAGGCGGGAUCCUGGGCCAGUACUGACGCUGAGGAGCGAAAGCGUGGGGAGCAAACAGG